CAAGUCUGCAAAAAGAGUGUUACUUGGGUGAGAGGAGGGGACCCAGAACCAUCUUCUUAUCCACUCCUCUUGUAAAGGGAAUUUAAAAACUUACAGCCAGACAUUAGAUUCAAGAGCUGGCCAAGCAAAUCCAGCCUGGUUCCAGUAAUUAGAAAGUAACAAAACUCAGUGAACCUUGGCAUUCCAAUGCCAGCUGCAGCUCACAAGUGUACCUCAGCUGGAUGGUGCAUCUUACUAUGUCAGCUCUUCAAGGAUUUGUCAUCUAGAGGAAGAUCCAGCCUGGUCUUAGACAACAAUUGAUUUUUCCUGCUCACUGACCCCCAUUCUAUAUGCCGCCCGCCAGUCCUCCUCCCACAAUUCUAUCAGAUGGUUCCCUGACCAGGAACAGCAGGAGAGAGACUCCUGGGGCUGGUUCCCAGUUUUGAGUCCCCUGCUGUUCAGGACCGACUGGACUGCAUCCUGCAUUAAUUCCCCACUUCUACACUCAGGAACUGUAAGUUUGGCUGCUGGUUUGCAAACAACAUCCACCAAUUUACCACAGUUCUGAGACAGACAACCUACACAAGGUAGAGCUACCUGCCCCCCCCCUCCAAUGCAGCAGAAGACAUCAGGCAAAAAAGUGCCUCAUCCUGGCGUUCUUUGAGACCUUACUCCAGGGCUGCUGGGCUGUCCUAGCCACCAGAGAGUGGGUGGCCCAUCCUAACUUCUAGCCCUCACAAGACACUGCCAGAUUCAUCGCCAACAAAAAUUGCUGCUGAAGACUAAGAGGGGCUAAGGGCCAACAACAACCUGCUUUGUGGGUGUCCGUCUCAGAGUCCAAGUCACAUUAAAAUUCUCAAGAGGGGAAAUGUUUCAAGGCCAGCACUUUCUACCAAAAUACUGUCAACAGGAUGUGUCUGGCACAAUGUGGAGUCAGUGUGGCCUCUCCACAACUCAGCUCGAUCUCCUUGCCUCCAGGAUGUGACUUACUUCAUGUAACCAAUCAUGUAAUAACCUGCCAUCUGCUUUGUACAUUCUGCUCGCAAACUGUCUGUAAACUGAACUCAAAGCUGACUCGUUGCUGGUGAUGUGGACUCUGUUAUAGUCCCCAGCCCACUGGCGUUAAGCUCAAUAAAGUUGCCUUCUAGA